GACUCCCGAUCAUUUUCUAAAUUCAUACAAACCCCCUGCAGCUAGACAUGGACGUUUAGAAGACAUUGGUUGUCUGAGUCAGGAAGUAUCAACACGUUAAGAUGCACACCCUUUGGAAGGAAAGAAGAUCAGCUGGGAGGUAAAAAGUCACCCAUUCAAUGGAGUUCCAUUUCAGGUUGUGGGCACAAGCACAUAUGAAUGCCAUCAGGGGAAAGACCGACAAGUAAAAGCUAAAGAGAAACAUGCUGCUAAAAUGAACAAGAAGGCGCUUGAAGACCAUGCCUUAAAGAGACGGAAACAAAAUACAAAGAAGGUGGACUGCAAGGCUUUAAUAAACAUCGCCCACAUUAUCCGCUUUCCUGGUUUUAAGAUUGAGGAGAGUACUGUGCGCUCUAAAAAGGAGGCCUCAAAAGAUCUGAAGGCAGCUCUAAGUGAAAAACCAAGCUCUGUGAAGGCAGAGGUUGUCUACUGUGUCAGGUUCCCCUCUCUCUCUGAGCAUAGCUCACACGCACUUGUUGGUGAGAGGUCCUCUAAGAAGAACUUGAAGAUGUUGCAGAAGCAAUGUGCAGGCUAUCUAAAAGAAAUCACAGACCUCACCUAUCAUCUUCAAGAUGAACAGUAUAUGGCUGGCCUGUCUUCACAUCUGCAAAGCCUAUUGCAGGAAAUGAAGGGACUUGUCCCACAGGAUAAAGAUCUCACACUGACCCUUUCCCCAAGGAAGAGAAAGGCUGAGGAGGACAUGGCCACCCUACCAACCCAGGGAGCAUCGCAACCUUUCACCGACAGUGUAGGACAGCAUGCAGAUUUACAGAACACAUGCGAAGAACCAUGUUUGCCAAACUGAGUGUGGAGUGAGAUUGCUUGUAGGCAGGGAGCCUAGGGUGCCGGAGGAUGGCAGUGUGUGUGUGUGUAUAUAUGUGUUGAGUCUGUUUUUUUUUGUUUUUUUUCCCAGAAUAUUUUAUUUUUGAGAGCUGGGUUUUGUGGUAACCCAAGCCUGCCAGCAUACUUGUACCAUUUUAAUAUUAAUUGUAAUAAAAUAAAAAUACAUUUGGGUGAUAAUCCUGUAUGCAGUGGUGGAAAAAUUACCCAAUUGUCAUACUUGAGUAAAAGUAAAGAUGCCUUAAUAGAAAAUGAAAGUCACCCAAUAAAAAACUACUUCAGUAAAAGUCUAAAAGUAUUUGGUUUUAAAUAUACUUAAGUAUCAAAAGUAAAUGACUGCUAAAAUAUAUUUAAGUAUCGAAAGUAAAAGUAUAAAUCAUUUAAAAUUCCUUAUAUUAAGCAAACCAGACAGCACCAUUUUCUUGUUCUUUUUAUUUAUUUAUGGAUAGCCAGGUGCACUCUCUAACACUCAUAAUUUAACACAUAAUUUACAAAGGAAGCAUUUGUGUUUAGUGAGUCUGCUAGAUCAGUAAGGAUGACCAGGGAUUAGUUAUGUGUGAAUUGGAAAAAUGUUCUGUCUUGCUAAACAUUCAGAAUGUAAUACUUUUGGGUGUAACGGAAAGCAUAUAUUAUUUGAUGAUGUUGAAAUGGUGCUGGAAUAGUGGAGGCAGCUCCUGUUUUCUUUGUGACUUGUGAUAACACUCUGUGGUUCUAAAUCAAUAGUUGUUUACUAGUCCAAAAAUGUCGGAAACAUUAACCUGCUUGACCUGCUGUAGGUCAUUUAAUACCACAUGCUUUGUGGACUUCACCAGACAGCUGUUGCUCUCCGGUUUUGUGAUGAAACAAAGGUGUGUUUGAAUUUGUACUGUCCCAGCCCUGGCUAUACUUCAGCCCAUAAUGGCCUCUCAGACCUUCUCCAGGUAACGCCCAACUGUCAUCUACAUCUCAUACAUGAUCAUACUCUGAAGAUGCUGAUGCUGUAAAAUAAGGUUUCUCUAAGCUGCUGGUAUGGAUGUUUGGUUAUUACCUGUGUAUGUGUGAAUGGAUGCUGUGUUUAAUGGGGUGCUGUUGUUUUCUGUAAAUCCUCUCCAUGGCUGUUAUAUAAGGUGUGCUUCUAUUAUUAACCUGUUCUCUUACCACUGAUUAGCUGUUCUCUCGAUGCAGGAGGUGGGUAUUUCACUGGAUGCGAUGGGGAGAUUAUGACUGGUUAGUCCACCUUUGGAACUUAUGUUAUCUUAGUACAUAUUUGUUUCUAUUUGAUAGUCAAGCUAAAUAACUUAAAGUGCAUACAUUAUCCUAAUUUUGUCGUAUUUCAUGUCACUGUUACUGCGCAGUUAGCUGAUUAUGACCACUUCCCAUCAUUGAAUAAUUGUUGUUUAGAGCCAGGAGUUUUUCCUGACUUUAACAGGAAAAUCUCUUCACCCUAUCUAUAACUUGGGCCCAUAGUUUUUCCUGACCGUCUAGCCAUGAAAAUUAUUAGCCCUUCUCAUUGGUUUCCACUAGUUUCUAUCGUCCCAAGGUCCUUUUCCACAGUCACAACGUCAGGUUCCACUGUCACUGAGUCAGGUUCCACAGCCACAAAGUCAAAAUUAGCUACAAAAUUAGCUUUUUGGUUUAAAGUUAGUGUUAGGCAUAAGGUUAGGUUGAAAAUCAAAUUUUAAGAAGAUAAAUUGUAGAAAUGAGCAUGGUUUGUGACUGUGUCUAUAAAAGCUACUGACAACCCUUUUCAUGUGAUACUCUUUUCCUGUUGUGAUGCAGUCGGCCAUGUUUUUGGGGAUUGGUCAGCAGUCGGCCUCACCCCUGG
rnacentral:lncRNA from 13 species